rnacentral:rRNA from 1 species
AGCGAACGCUGGCGGCAGGCCUAACACAUGCAAGUCGAACGAAGUCUUCGGACUUAGUGGCGGACGGGUGAGUAACACGUGGGAACGUACCUUUUGGUUCGGAACAACUCAGGGAAAUUUGAGCUGAUACCGGAUGAGCCCUUAGGGGGAAAGAUUUAUCGCCGAAAGAGCGGCCCGCGUUAGAUUAGCUAGUUGGUGAGGUAAAGGCUCACCAAGGAUACGAUCUAUAGCUGGUCUGAGAGGAUGAUCAGCCACACUGGGACUGAGACACGGGCCAGACUCCUACGGGAGGCAGCAGUGGGGAAUCUUGCGCAAUGGGCGAAAGCCUGACGCAGCCAUGCGGCGUGAAUGAUGAAGGUCUUAGGAUUGUAAAAUUCUUUUACCACGGACGAUAAUGACGGUACCUGGAGAAAAAGCCCCGGCUAACUUCGUGCCAGCCGCCGCCGUAAAAC